rnacentral:rRNA from 1 species
UACGAGGGGGCGAGCGUUGUUCGGAAUUAUUGGGCGUAAAGGGCGCGUAGGCGGUCGGAUAAGUCUUGUGUGAAAUCUUCGGGCUCAACUCGAAGUCUGCACAGGAAACUAUCUGGCUUGAGUGUGGGAGAGGUGAGUGGAAUUCCUGGUGUAGCGGUGAAAUGCGUAGAUAUCAGGAGGAACACCUGUGGCGAAAGCGGCUCACUGGACCAUAACUGACGCUGAUGCACGAAAGCUAGGGGAGCAAACAGG